rnacentral:rRNA from 1 species
UACGUAGGGUGCGAGCGUUAAUCGGAAUUACUGGGCGUAAAGCGUGCGCAGGCGGUGAUGUAAGACAGGUGUGAAAUCCCCGGGCUCAACCUGGGAACUGCAUUUGUGACUGCAUCGCUGGAGUGCGGCAGAGGGGGAUGGAAUUCCGCGUGUAGCAGGUGAAAUGCGUAGAGAUGUGGAGGAACACCGAUGGCGAAGGCAGCCCCCUGGGUUAACACUGACGCUCAGGCACGAAAGCGUGGGGAGCAAACAG